rnacentral:rRNA from 1 species
GAUGAACGCUGGCGGCGUGCCUAAUACAUGCAAGUCGAGCGAACAGACGAGGAGUUUGCUCCUCUGACGUUAGCGGCGGACGGGUGAGUAACACGUGGAUAACCUACCUAUAAGACUGGGAUAACUUCGGGAAACCGGAGCUAAUACCGGAUAAUAUCUUGAACCGCAUGGUUCAAUAGUGAAAGACGGUUUUGCUGUCACUUAUAGAUGGAUCCGCGCUGCUUUGGCUGGGUGGUAAGGUAACGGCUUAUCAAGGCAGCGAUGCGUAGCCGACCUGAGGGGCUGAUCGGCGACCCGGGAACUGAGACACGGUCCAGACUCCUACGGGAGGCAGCAGUCGGGAAUCUUCCGCAAUAGUCGAGAGCAUUACGGAGCAGCCCAACGCGUGUGAUGACGGUCUUCGGAUCGUAAAAACCUGUUAUUAGGGAAGAACAAAUGUCUACAUAAAUAUGCACAUAUUGACGGUACCUACACAGAAAGCCCCGGCUAACUACGUG